rnacentral:rRNA from 1 species
GACGUAGGGCGCGAGCGUUGUCCGGAAUUACUGGGCGUAAAGCGUGCGUAGUCGGUUAUCUAAGUCAGGUGUGAAAUCCCCGGGCUCAACCUGGGAAUUGCAUUUGAUACUGGAUAGCUAGAGUUCGGCAGAGGGAAGUGGAAUUUCUGGUGUAGCGGUGAAAUGCGUAGAUAUCAGAAGGAACAUCAGUGGCGAAAGCGACUUCCUGGACCAGAACUGACGAUCAGGCACGAAAGCGUGGGGAGCAAACAGG